CUUCCUCUUCAUUCUUCCUUUUUAUUUAUCAAGAUUUUAUGCAUAAAAACAUCUACAGUAUAUGCUGUUCCUGGCAUACUGUAUGUAUCACUAAGCAUAUGUCUUCUGUAAACUAUAAGAAUUCAGCCAUUCACUUAAUUCAUUAAAAUUCACAAGGCCUAUUAUUCUGUUUACAGGCUAAUAGAUAUUCACUGUCACUAUUCAGGCCUCUGAUUCAAUUUGUUUAAAUCCCAGAUGCAGAGUAAUCCUGGUGGAGAUUAGCUUAAUUUAUCACCAAUUUCUUCUCAGAACCGAGAAAGAACUUUUUUUUUAAAUUACUGGAACUGGAGUGAGAAUCAAGGUAAAAAGGGGACCUGGCAGCUAUCCAGAAGAGAAGAAAUGAGGCAGACCAGACUUCAAAAGAAGAGCAACACUCUUCAAGUGGAAGGAGUACUGCUACUUAUUACAUGCAUCAAAAUUCCCUUAGUCUUUACUUUGAAUGCUUCAGCCUUCCUCAAACAUAUCUGAAAGCAGCUCACUUCUACAGAAACCCAAGAGCAGUAGAGAAGCGGCUGUUUCAUGGGCUAGUAAGCAAGAGCCUUCUUUGAAAGUGUACAGUAGUUAUAUGCUACAUUAAUAAAAUCACAAAAUCUUCUGAGCUGGAAAAGACC
rnacentral:lncRNA from 1 species